rnacentral:rRNA from 1 species
AUUGAACGCUGGCGGCAUGCUUUACACAUGCAAGUCGAACGGUAACAGGCCUUCGGGUGCUGACGAGUGGCGAACGGGUGAGUAAUGCAUCGGAACGUGCCCAGAGGUGGGGGAUAACGCAGCGAAAGCUGUGCUAAUACCGCAUGUGAUCUGAGGAUGAAAGCGGGGGACCAGGCAGCAAUGUUUGGCCUCGCGCCUUUGGAGCGGCCGAUGUCAGAUUAGGUAGUUGGUGGGGUAAAGGCCUACCAAGCCGACGAUCUGUAGCUGGUCUGAGAGGACGACCAGCCACACUGGGACUGAGACACGGCCCAGACUCCUACGGGAGGCAGCAGUGGGGAAUUUUGGACAAUGGGCGCAAGCCUGAUCUAGCAAUGCCGCGUGCGGGAAGAAGGCCUUCGGGUUGUAAACCGCUUUUGUACGGAACGAAAAGGCUCUGGCUAAUACCUGGGGCUGAUGACGGUACCGUAAGAAUAAGCACCGGCUAACUACGUG